UACGGAGGGGGCUAGCGUUGUUCGGAAUUACUGGGCGUAAAGCGCACGUAGGCGGCUUUGUAAGUUAGAGGUGAAAGCCCGGGGCUCAACUCCGGAAUUGCCUUUAAGACUGCAUCGCUAGAAUUGUGGAGAGGUAAGUGGAAUUCCGAGUGUAGAGGUGAAAUUCGUAGAUAUUCGGAAGAGCACCAGUGGCGAAGGCGACUUACUGGACACAUAUUGACGCUGAGGUGCGAAAGCGUGGGGAGCAAACAGG
rnacentral:rRNA from 1 species